rnacentral:rRNA from 1 species
CCUACGGGAGGCAGCAGUGAGGAAUAUUGGUCAAUGGGCGCGAGCCUGAACCAGCCAAGUAGCGUGAAGGAUGACUGCCCUACGGGUUGUAAACUUCUUUUAUAAAGGAAUAAAGUGAGGCACGUGUGCCUUUUUGUAUGUACUUUAUGAAUAAGGAUCGGCUAACUCCGUGCCAGCAGCCGCGGUAAUACGGAGGAUCCGAGCGUGAUCCGGAUUUCUUGGGUUUAAAGUGAGCGUAGAUGGGUUGUUAAGUCAGUUGUGAAAGUUUGCUGCUCAACCGUAAAAUUGCAAUUGAUACUGGCAGUCUUGAGUACAGUUGAGGUAGGCGGAAUUCGUGGGGUAGCGGUGAAAUGCUUAGAUAUCACGAAGAACUCCGAUGGCGAAGGCAGCUUACUAAACUGCCACUGACAGUGAGGCUCGAAAGUGUGGGUAUCAAACAGGAUUAGAUACCCCAGUAGUC